rnacentral:rRNA from 1 species
GAUGAACGCUGGCGGCGUGCUUAACACAUGCAAGUCGAACGGACAGGCCCUGCUUUUGUGGGGCGCUCGAGUGGCGAACGGGUGUGUAACACGCGAGUAUCCCGUCCCUGACUUUGGGAUAACUUCAGGAAACUGGGGAUCUUACCGGAUAGGAGCUCCUGCCGCACGGUGGGGGUUGGAAAGUUUCGGCGGUUGGGGAUGGACUAGCGGCUUAUCAGCUUGUUGGUGGGGUAGUGGCUUACCAAGGGUGCGACGGGUAGCCGGCCUGAGAGGGUGGCCGGCCACAUGGGUACUGAGGGACGGCCCAGACGGCUACGGGAGGCAGCGGGGGAGAAUAUUGCAGAAUGGGCGGGAGCCUGAGGCAGCAGCGCCGCGUGCGGGAUGACGGCCUUCGGGUUGUAAACCGCUUUCUCCUGUGACGAAGCGUGAGUGACGGUAAUGGAUAAGGAAGCACCGGCUAACUACGUG